rnacentral:lncRNA from 10 species
UUGGCCUCCCAAAGUGCUGGGAUUACAGGCGUGAACCGCUGUUCCCAGCCGACGCUCAAUUUCUUUAGCUCUUUCUGACUUAUAUGCAAAAAACAUAACAGCAGUUUAUCACCAAGUGUACUUAAUGACCUGUCAGUUGACCACUUGAAUAGGUCCUUUUUAAAUUUUGACAGAAGCAAACAAAGAAUUAGAAGUAACCUAAAGUGCAAAACUACAUGAAGUCUUUCCCAGCCAAUAAAUUCACCUACUUUCUUAAAAUCAACUGCAGAGUUUUGAAUUGUCCCUUUGAUGAGGAGGACAGCCCAGGUACCAAGGCCAGGUACCAGGGUGAAUAAAGGAAGAGAAGCAACGUGGGAGAAGGAGCUGUGGCCAAGGGGGACACGCUAGGCGCGUGCCCUCAUCCAAGGACCUUCUACAGGAAUUCCAGGGCAGAAUCCAUGUGGAACUCCUGCUGUGAUUCUCCAGGGGCUCCCCGGCUCUUGGAAAGGCUUCUGUGUUCCAGGGGUCCAACAUCACUCCGUGAAAGUCUGCUCCCCACCUAGGAGCCCCCUCGAGCCACAGCAGCCUUGCCAGCUGGAGAAGGACCCGAGACGUGCAGAUGGGAGUUGUGGCAGUAGUGGCCAUCUUGAGGGACAGACACCGGGAGAAAACGAGUGAUGCGUGCAAGGAGGGGCAUCGCUGAGCCCACACAAGACUCAAGAUGGAUGAGACAGAGGCGGCCUCAGGUGCCUGCAGGUGGAGAGAGAAGGUAGGGGUGGCCUGGAGGCAGGUCUCUUCUGAGUAUCACAAAGCACAUCCAAAAGUAAAUGAUGCCGGGUGUGGUGGCUCUCGCCUGUAAUCCCAGCACUUUGGGAGGCUGAGGUGGGUGGAUCAGCUGGACCAACAUGAUGAAACCUCGUCUCUACUAAAAAUACAAAAAUUAGCUGGGUGUGGUGGCACGCGCCUGUAAUCCCAGCUACUUGGGAG